GAUGACGCUGGCGGCGUGCCUAAUACAUGCAAGUAGAGCGAGCGGCGGACGGGUGAGUAAUGUCUGGGAAAAUGCCUGAUGGAGGGGGAUAAAUAAUGGAAACGGUAGCUAAUACCGCAUACCAUCAGAUGUGCACAGAGGGGAUUGGCAAGUAGGUGGGGUAAUGGCUCACCUAGGCGCCGAUCCCUAGCUGGUGUGAGAGGAUGACAAGCCACACUGGAACUGAGACACGGUCCAUACUCCUACGUGAGGCAGCAUUGGGGAAUAUUGCACAAUGGGCGCAAGCCUGAUGCAGCCAUGCCGCGGGUGUGAAGAAGGCCUGCGGGUUGUAAAGCACUUUCAGCGAGGAGGCGUUACUCGCAGAAGAAGCACCGGCUAACUCCGUGCCAGCAGCCGCGGUAAUUC
rnacentral:rRNA from 1 species